rnacentral:rRNA from 1 species
CCUACGUGUGGCAGCAGUGAGGAAUAUUGGUCAAUGGGCGGGAGCCUGAACCAGCCAAGUCGCGUGAGGGAAGAAUGUCCUAUGGAUUGUAAACCUCUUUUGUCAGGGAGCAAAGUCACCCACGUGUGGGUGUUGGAGAGUACCUGAAGAAAAAGCAUCGGCUAACUCCGUGCCAGCAGCCGCGGUAAUACGGAGGAUCCGAGCGUUAUCCGGAUUUAUUGGGUUUAAAGGGAGCGUAGGCGGGUUGUUAAGUCAGUUGUGAAAGUUUGCGGCUAAACCGUAAAAGUGCAGUUGAUACUGGCAUCCUUGAGUACAGUAGAGGUAGGCGGAAUUCGUGGUGUAGCGGUGAAAUGCUUAGAUAUCACGAAGAACUCCGAUUGCGAAGGCAGCCUGCUGGACUGUAACUGACGCUGAUGCUCGAAAGUGUGGGUAUCAAACAGGAUUAGAUACCCGAGUAGUC